UGAGGAAUAUUGGUCAAUGGACGGAAGUCUGAACCAGCCAUGCCGCGUGAAGGAUGAAGGCGUUAUGCGUUGUAAACUUCUUUUAUAUGGGGAGAAACCACUUUUUUCCAAGAGUGUUGACGGUACCAUAGGAAUAAGCACCGGCUAACUCCGUGCCAGCAGCCGCGGUAAUACGGAGGGUGCAAGCGUUAUCCGGAUUUACUGGGUUUAAAGGGUGUGUAGGCGGACUGUUAAGUCAGUGGUGAAAUCU
rnacentral:rRNA from 1 species